CAAAAACAUGUCUUUUUGAUUAUAAUUUAAAGUCUAACCUGCCCAAUGAGGAGUUAAAUGGCCGCGGUAUUUUGACCGUGCAAAGGUAGCAUAAUCAUUAGUUUUUUAAUUGAAAGCUGGUAUGAAUGGUUGGACGAGAAAAUAACUGUCUCAAUUUGAAUUAAAUUAGAAUUUUAUUUAUGAGUAAAAAAGCUCAUAUGAGUUUAAAAGACGAGAAGACCCUAUAGAAUUUAAUAUAUAUACAUAUAUAUUAUUUUUAGAAUUGAUAGUAAAUUAUGUGUAAUUAUAUUUUGUUGGGGUGAUAGAAAAAUUUAAAUAACUUUUUUUAUAUAAAAACAUUAAUGUAUGAAAAAAUGAUCCGUUAAUUACGAUUAUAAGAUUAAAUUACCUUAGGGAUAACAGCGUAAUUUUUUUUUAGAGUUCUUAUCGAAAAAAGAGUUUGCGACCUCGAUGUUGGAUUAAAAUUAACUUUUGGUGUAGGGGCU
rnacentral:rRNA from 1 species